GGAAGAAUCGCCUAAUGGUAUGGCAACAGAUUGCUAAUCUGUCGGGGUGAAACCUGUGUAGGUUCAAAUCCUACUUCUUCCG
rnacentral:tRNA from 1 species